GACACUACAUGCUGUAACCAAAAGUGACGUAACGUCAGUGUCUGUAACAGGAAGCACCCAUCAUCAGUGCUGCAUCAACCACAAUGCCAUCAAUUUCACCUCCUCGUCAGGAUUUUUUUUCUGCCAUCACACAUCGGACUGAAUGACACAUUUGGAAGGGGCUCUCAAUUGUACAUUAGGAUUGAGAGAGGAGGAAAAUGACCCAGUAGAUGAGAAUUCAAGUAUGACAGCUCCUACCCAUCAACUGUAUCAUGACUCGCAGACAUUGAUGAUUCAGCUUUUUUUACUUUAAUCUCAAAGACUGCACAAUAUAGAGAAUGUUGUGCAUAUAUUUCCGAUGCAACGGAAGUAAUGUAAUGUAUGCAGUAGAAAUGACAGUCCAACAUCACCAGGCAUUUAAAUAGGCAGUCCAUCUUCGCACUUCUGAUGUGUAUGUAUCAUACCACAGGUUGAGUCAUUGGAGCAUUUCAACUUCAACUGGGGAAUUAAAUCAAGCAACUGUCAAGUCAUAAGCUCUCUCCUUUAACCUUAAUGCCACCACUGCCUAUGAAAUAUGGAUUUGUUCAAAGGGGGCAUGUUAUCGUCGAUCAUGAAGCUCAGGCUCCGGUUAAAUAUGUGUUGAAAAACCACACACAACUGAGUAACACAUCCUAUAAGUACUCUGUGGCUGAGGCUGUCAGCCUGAUUAUGUGAUGUGUUUUUCAAACAAAUUUGACAAGGAAUAGUUAUGCAAACUGCUUAUAAUUACAUAGGCUUGCGAUGACUUUUCCUCAUUAAAUUUGGUAUUUGUUUUUAACUUAUUGGUGUCAUGCUGGUCUUCCA